rnacentral:rRNA from 1 species
UAGUCCACGCCGUAAACGAUGGUCACUAGCUGUGUGGAUUUCGGUCUGCGUGGCUAAGCGAAAGUGAUAAGUGACCCACCUGGGGAGUACGUUCGCAAGAAUGAAACUCAAAGGAAUUGACGGGGGCCCGCACAAGCGGUGGAGCAUGUGGUUUAAUUCGAUGAUACGCGAGGAACCUUACCAGGGCUUAAAUGUAAGUUGCAUUAGCUAGAGAUAGCUAUUUCUUCGGACUACUUACAAGGUGCUGCAUGGUUGUCGUCAGCUCGUGCCGUGAGGUGUCAGGUUAAGUCCUAUAACGAGCGCAACCCCUGUUGUUAGUUGCCAGCAUGUAAAGAUGGGAACUCUAACAAGACUGCCGGUGCAAACCGCGAGGAAGGUGGGGAUGACGUCAAAUCAUCACGGCCCUUACGUCCUGGGCUACACACGUGCUACAAUGGUAGGGACAGAGAGCAGCCACACUGCGAGGUGGAGCUAAUCUCAGAAAACCGUUCGUAGUCCGGAUUGG